UCUUACAUAUUUGGCAUCCUGGGAGCUCACUUAACUUCUUUCCUAUGUUGAAUUGCCUGCUUCUGGAUCCAAUACUGUCUUCUUUCUUGGCUUUCUUCAUUAUGUUACUGGAGCAUAACCUCCUAUAGCUUUCUGAGUAAAGGUCAAAGGGACAUAGUUUUAAAAUUCUAUCCAUGUCUAAAAAUGCACAUAUUCUGCCCUUGAAGUUGAUUGAUACUUUGGCUGGGUAUAGAAUUCUUAGAUUAUAAACCAUUCUGAAAACAGAAUGUCUGCCAUUAUUUCCUUUCAAAAUCCGUGGCUCCUUCAAAAAUCCAUGCGAUCUAUUUUCAAUAGAAAGUUUUAGAAUCUUUAUUUAUCCUGCAUAGUCUCAAAUUUAAGGAAGGAUCUAUUUUCACGAUCUCUACCCCUGCCCUUGGAGCUGCUUAACCUAAAGAUUUAGUUAUAGGAAGUUUUAUUAUUCAUUUGAAAAUUUGCUGCUUUCAUUUUAUUUGUUUUCUCUUACUAUAAUUUCUUUUCUAGAAGAGAAAUGGAGAAAUGGAAAUCUUGACUGAUAUUUUUUUCACUUUACUGAACUUUUCUCUAAUCUUCCAUUCUCUUUAUUUCCCGACAAAUUUCCUAGAGCUGCCCUCCAAACUUGUCUUUUUGUUUAUUUGGUUUUUGGUUUUCAUAACUUUUCUUUUUUGAAAUUCCUAAGAGCUCUUUCUCUUCUCCAAAUGUUCCCUUUUUUUUAGGUCAGUAUCCUGUUUUUGUUUCAGGGAUAUAUUUCUGAGGAUUUGUUUUUGUUUUUGAAGUAUUUUUAGUUUUCUGCAUUGAUCUCUUUCCUUGGAUUUGUUUUCCUUCUCUCUCCCCACCCUACCCCUUUCCUGUUUGUUUGCUUAGGUUUGUUUUUCAUGCAGGAAUUUUCUUGAAAGGUUUGGUAUUCCUAGGUACUUUACAGCAGUGAGGCACUAAACUGCCUCCUCUCUCUGCCUCCUCUCCAGGCAGUUCUCUGGGUUAGAGUUGGGUUUUGGAGAGCAUAGAGAUGGCAUAAUCCAGCUGUUCUGCUCAUCAUGCCUGCUUCCUGUACAACCAUGAGUUAUGUGACUAGACUUCCACUGGACUCUUCCUAUUCCUCUCCCAGGACCAGUUCACAGGUCCAGUCCUCCAUGUGCAGAGUGAAAGGUUAUCACCUGAACAUCUCCGGAUCGUACAUUUACACACACACAUCUGAGCCUGGUUGAAAUAAUGCUUCCAGCUCCCUUUCAGAGAAGUGCACUUAUCACAUAUUUGGCAGAUAUUCUUCCACAUCUGUGGAGUUGUUGCCCAGUUUCUUCAUUAGAUUUUGUUAUUGUGGUUUCAUUCUUUUGGGGUCUCAGGGACCAGAAUGAAGAAGAUGGGUCUUUUCCUCGAAGUUUCUGAAAAUUUCUCUCACAGCCAGGUUGCUCUCGGCAUUUUUCAGAAGUUCUGAGUCAUUUCUAGUUUUUACCCUCAUUUAUUUCAAAUAACAACUUUUGGGGUGCCUCGGUGGCUCAGUCGGUUAAGCAUCCUACUUCAGCUCAGGUCAUGAUCUCCUGGUUCGUGGGUUCGAGCCCCACGUCAGGCUCUGUGCUGGCAGCUUGGAGCCUAGAGCCUGCUUCGGAUUCUGUGUCUCCCUCUCUGUUUUCCCCUCCCCUGCUCGUGCUCUGUCUCUCUCUCUCAAAAAUAAACAUUUAAAAAAUAAAAUAACAACUUUUGAGGGGCACCUGGGUGACUCAGUUGGUUAAGCAUUCGACUCUCAGUUUCAGCUCAGGUCAUGAUCUCAUGGUUGUGUGAGUUCAAGCCCUGCAUCAGGCUCUGCGCUGGCCAUGUGGAGCCUGCUUGGGACUCUCUCUCUCUCUCCCUCUCUUUCUGCCCUCCCCUACGCACGCUGUAUCUCUCUCAAAAUAAAUAAACUUAAAAAAAAUGUUUUUAAAUAACAACUUUUGACACCUACUAAGCAUAGAACAUGAAGGUAAUUCUUACAAGUGCUUAUAUUACCUGGCUGUCCUUGAUUAUGUGAUUUUCUUCACAUUUCCCCCCCUCCCUGCCCCUGUUUUUCUCUCUUCAAAAGUUUAAACCAUGGGAAAGCUUCCUUUGCAGCCCCAAGCAUUUUGAAUUUUUUUUUUUUUUUACUUUCCUCAACAUUAGAAUUAUUGGUCCAAAUCAUAUCUUUGAGACUGUAUCAAUCUUUUACGGUCUGUGUCACCUGUACGGAUAGGUGCUAUGGAAUUACAUAGUAAAGCCACGUGAGAAGUGGAUUUAUGAAAAUGCGCUCCUAGAUGCCCAGCCAGAAAAAAGGAGAAAAAGUACGAAGAGAGAAAAGAAAGAGGAGAUUAGUGAUGCAAAAGGCUCCAGGGUGCCUUUUCUCUAGUGACAGCAUGCAGUGAAAUAACAUUGAGUCAGAGAAAGUUACUCAGCCUCAGUUCCUGCGUGUCUCAGCUAGUGUGAGUGCUUACAGUGCCGAGUGUGAACCUGGUGUUGAGGGAUACUAAUUCUUUGUUCACCUAGGCCCCUCUUGCAAACCCAGACCCAAACCCAGCUUCAUCCCGUACUCACCAAAUGAACCAUGACCUUUCCUACCACCAAGGAAAAAGCGGUCUGGAUCAGACAUAUGGCGGGGCAAAAUGCUGGCCACCAGUGGAUAUCUUCAAAAUACACUUUUAAGGGUAAUUUAGACUAUAUGUGAUUUCCACCUUGCACCCUGAUCCUAAUUGUUACGAAAUUACAUUUCCAAAGUCAGCGGAAAUACAUAUUUAUAAGACCUGCGCUCCUUUCUGUUAUCACGGUUAUCAGGAGCACAUGGUCACUGUCAUCCUAAAUUCCUUCCCCUCUCAGUUUCUGAACCUCCACUGGGUAGUUCAGGGUUAGACCAGGAGCAGCAGUUCUUUAAGCUGGUAUUCAGUUUUCAAGAUGAAAAUGGUGGUAGGGUGGAGGGGACGGACUGGCCAAUUCCAGAUGCUCUUCUCAGAGGUUAGAAACUUACAAGACUUAAGAAAGGUGCUAGCACCUUCUUAAGGGUGAUAGCACAGCCUCUUAAUAUCCCUUCUUAAAGGGAUAGCACAGCUUCUAAUCAGUUGGAUAAGAUGAUCAGCCACAGCAGACAUCGGCCAUAAACCUGCAGCUCACAUCCCUCCCUAAUGGUGGAACUCUUACUGCCUCACUCUGCUUCUGGAACUUUCGAGAUCUGUGGUAUCCUUUCACCUUAUCCGGUCCAGUUCAACAAUAGAAGGAGUCCUGAUCCCGUUUCCUUUUACCUGUACUCAAGUGCUGUUGUUUCCAGCACACUCGUACCUGGGAGUUUAUAAAUUUUCUAACACAUUUAUAUUGUCUGGAUACCUGAAGAGUUACUUCACCUCGGAGGUUUGAAAUCAGAUGCAUGCUUUCAAGGCUGUGUGCCAAGCAUAAGGCCUCUCCGGCUGAGUCUCCAUGGUAACACAGUGAGAGAGUCUGGUGAUUGUGUGUCUGUGACCACAGGCAUGGAUUUUCCCAUGUGAAUGACUGGUGUUUGCUCAUGUGCUGCUCUUUCCAGGUCUUUCCUCGGGUCUUUCAAAGUUGUCUGCUUUCUUCGUGAUACUAAUUUAGCCUUCCAUCCCAUCCCAAACACCUCCUUUCUUUCACUGUAGAAUAACCUGGUUUUGUGUGAGUUUAAUGUUUCAGUAGUAUCUAAAGGUGUUUGUGUUGGACGUGUCUCUGAUCUCACUUGGUUAUUAGCUUCAGAAGAGUUAUUUUACUUACUUCAUGAUACCUGGAAUGUAUUUUUCUGUACAAAGUGGGACAUUGAUACUCUAUUGUUAUUUUUUGGUCUGCCUGCCCAAUUUAGCAAUGAGGCCAUAUUGCAAGUGUUUCAUAAAAACAUUUCAUCAAAAAUGUUUUAAAAUCAUUCAGCAAAUUUUUUUAUCAGGAUAAAGAGCAAAAGAGAAGAAAAGUCUCCUUUAGAGUAAAAUAUUGAAGCUUUCUAUCCUGACACUUUACAACCCAUCCUCAGGUUUUCAUUGGUGUAGUGAACGCUUUUUUUGUUGAAAGGAUAAUUUGUAAUACUCUGUGCACCUUCCCUAUUACUGGCAUUGCACAUGAUACAAAAUGCUGGGGGUUUAAAAAACGGGGUAUGGUGGACACCUAUUGUUUUUCAAAGCUUGUUAUUAUAAAGCAUAAUUGAGCACUUUAUGGUUUUCCAAGGACAGAUCUUUUGAGCCACCCCGCAUGUAUGAGGGUGAAUUUCUUGUACCCACCAGUAAAUCGUUCAGGAUGUGAAUACUGAUUUUUUUUAGGCAGAAGUAAACGUUGCUUUUAAAAAGUGCCAGGACCUUGUU